CAGUAGCCGCGGUAACACAGAGGGUGCGAGCGUUAAUCGGAUUUACUGGGCGUAAAGCGUGCGUAGGCGGCUUUUUAAGUCGGAUGUGAAAUCCCUGAGCUUAACUUAGGAAUUGCAUUCGAUACUGGGAAGCUAGAGUAUGGGAGAGGAUGGUAGAAUUCCAGGUGUAGCGGUGAAAUGCGUAGAGAUCUGGAGGAAUACCGAUGGCGAAGGCAGCCAUCUGGCCUAAUACUGACGCUGAGGUACGAAAGCAUGGGGAGCAAACAGGAUUAGAUACCCGAGUAGUCCCUGUCUCUUAUAC
rnacentral:rRNA from 1 species